GCAGGACACAGAACACAUUUAUGAGUCUUUUCACCCUCAUUUCGUUGAAGAUUUUAUUGGCCGAAGAACCCUCAGUAGGCACGAAAUUCAUUCUCACAAGCAGAGAGAUGCAUUAUGCUCCAUUUAUUGCUCAUCCUAAAUUAUAAACAUUUCCAGUGAAUGUAAAGGAAGAUAUGAUUGAAAAGGACUCUGUGAAGACAGGAUGUUUCUGUACAGUCCUUGUAUCUGCUCACCUAUUCCAAACUUUCCAGAGAUUUUACCAGAGGUUUAAGAUAUUCUCCUGAGGGUUUGCUGUAGAGAGAUUUUUCUUAACUAAGGAGUGCAAGUAGCAAGCAAUAGCCCACCCAGUUGGAGACAAAAAAGAAGGGUGUCAGUGUUCCCACUGUUAAAAAACAAAAAAAAAUCACCCUGGACACCUCUGAGAAUUAUACAAGGGGAUGUACACAGCCCUGCUUUAUUUGAGUUCAAAAGGAAGGUGGGUUUUGAAAGAAGAACAAGGAGAGUAGAUCUCUCUGGAUCUUCUGAUGCUCACAGCAAAGAGCUCAAGGUAUCUGAGUCAACUCUUGAGGCUUCUUCGAACAGAGGGAUGAAGAGAGAAUAUGGCAAGCUUGCCAACAGAUCCCAGAAGUUUUAAGAGAAAAGAACAGAUUGCUCUUUGCAAAACAAACCGAGCUGGGUGCAUGGAGCCCCAGUAGACAGAAAGUGAAGAAAACAUCAACGUUCUGAAGUUUUAGAUAGGUGCACCAUCCCUUAUGGAUACCAAUCUGUGCUCCCCAUAAACUUCUGUGCCCAGGGUCAACUGGCCAGGGACAACUGGCUCACCAGGAGGCCUACAUAGCCUCUUCUUCAGGCCCUAAUUACAGCUCUAUGCAAUAGGGACUCUGCCAUCUGACAGCCAAGGAGGUGGUUCGGUUUCUGCACAUGGUUUUUUCCGCUGGGUCCCUUGAGGUCCAUGGUAACCUCUUCCUCAUUCUCUACAGGCAGAUCACACUUUGUAAUAAGAUCAGAGGCAGAGAACUUUGACCAGAUCACACUUUAUAAUAAGAUCAGAGGCAAAGAACUCUGACCAGAUCACACUUUAUAAUAAGAUCAGAGGCAGAGAACUUUGACAACUAUCUCCUUGCCCUCUGGCCCUGGGGUCAGGGCUACUCAAACAACACCUGCUGUCCCAAACCCGGAGAAGUGUAGAUUUUGGCACUGGUAGAGGAAUAACAGCUAUUGUUGACACUUAAUCUUGUGGGCCUGGAAUUUCAACUAUGUUUUCACAACUCGGAGCCUAUUGCUGCCACCUCUGUCAGGGAAGAUAAAUGGGCAUGAAUAAUAGACAGAUGAGUUUCCCAAAAGCCCAGACAGGCUGCAGGGAACACGUAAUGAGCAGACAGUGUGGUUCACGCCGGGGAGCCCAGGUUUAUCCAGGCCUCAUCCUCACUCCCUUUCUCUACUGAUAAUUGGACCCAACAGGACCAUUCCGAAUCAUUUUUCUCUCUUCAGUUAUUCUUCAGUUCUACUCAAAGGAGGAAGAAACAGGCCCAGAGAAGUUGGGUAACUCAUCAAAGGUCACAGAGCUAAGAGUGGCAGAGUCAGGCCUGGAGCCCAGGAAGUCUGGUUUCGAAUUUCAUGCUUCUAACCUGAGCACUGUACUGCUUGGUGGAGUUCUCUGCUAGUCCUACCUUUCAGGCAGAGGUGAUGCAGCAAGAAAGCUGCCACCAGAUGCAGCCCCUUGAUCUCGGACUGCCCAGCCUCUAGAACUGAGUUGAAGAGCAAUUCCCUCCAGUUUCCAUUAGAAAUGCUUCUUCUUCCAUAUCAAAUAUUGUGAGAUAGCCUGAAACACCUUUCAACACUUUACUACCCUUCUCCAAAAUUCAACAGAUAUGAUUUCCACGGACUUUACUCACAGGGGCUUCAGUAGAAGAGGAAGAGGCUUGGGUUUA
rnacentral:lncRNA from 10 species